rnacentral:rRNA from 1 species
AGUGAACGCUGGCGGCGUGCCUAAUACAUGCAAGUCGAACGGAGUGGCGCACGGGUGAGUAAUAUAUAGCUAAUCUGCCCCUUGCUGGAGGACAACAGUUAGAAAUGACUGCUAAUACCGCAUACUGAAGGAGGGGAUUGCGUCUGAUUAGCUAGUUGGAGGGGUAACGGCCCACCAAGGCGAUGAUCAGUAGCCGGUGUGAGAGGAUGAUCAGUCACAUUGGAACUGAGACACGGUCCAAACUCCUACGGGAGGCAGCAGUAGGGAAUAGUGCGCAAUGGGGGAAACCCUGACGCAGCAACGCCGCGUGGAGGAUGACACUUUUCGGAGCGUAAACUCCUUUUGUUAGGGAAGCGGUACCUAACGAAUAAGCACCGGCUAACUCCGUGCCAGCAGCCGCGGUAAUAC